CUGCAGCCCGAGUGGUGAUCGAUUUUAUUGAGCCUAAAGCGUCCGUAGCCGGACCAGUAAACCCUUGGGUAAAUUGGGCAGCUUAACUGUCCAAAUUCCGAGGGGACUGCUAGUCUUGGGACCGGGAGAGGUCAGAGGUACUCAAGGGGUAGGGGCUAAAUCCUGUAAUCCUUUGGGGACCACCAGUGGCGAAGGCGUCUGAAUAGAACGGAUCCGACGGUAAGGGACGAAACCCUGGGGCGCGAACCGGAUUAGAGACCCGAGUAGUCC
rnacentral:rRNA from 1 species